AUGGCUUCAGGGCCUUGGGCUGAGAUGAAGUGUAAUGUCUGUUCUUUUCAGUUUAAUUUCAUAUAGUCCCCUGUCUAAGGACAGUAGAUUAAUUUGAUGAAAUAGGGACUUGCACUAUCCAAUUCCCACCGUGACCUUGUAUUGCAAACUGUGCAGGAGUGCUGCACUGCUG
ensembl:snRNA Gm23260 predicted gene, 23260